rnacentral:rRNA from 1 species
AUGAUGGACACGGCAGCAAGGGCAAGGAUCACCUUGUGGUGGUCUUUGUUCCUCUUCCUCGGUCUGAGUUUUGCUCAGACUGCCGCAGAGGGCGAAGCGGGCACGCUUAAAGUCGGUGCGGUCCUGAAUAUGCGGUCUUUGCUGGGCAAGAUGUCGCGUACUAGCAUCUUGAUGGCCAUGGAGGAUUUCUAUGCUGUCCACAGAGAUUACGCGACCAAGCUGGUUCUCCACAUCAGGGAUUCCAAUGGUGGUGGCAAUAUCCAAGCUGCAUCAGCAGCUAUUGAUCUGCUGGAGAAUCACCAUGUCCAAGCUAUCAUUGGUCCAGAAAAAUCCGCGGAGGCCACUUUUGUGUCUGAUAUUGGGAAUAACAGUCAAGUCCCCGUUAUCUCCUUCACGGCAACGAACCCCGCCCUUUCAUCUGCCAAUGUGCCAUAUUUUUUGCGCGCAACAUUAAGUGAUGCUGCCCAAGUGAAUAGUAUUGCUGCUCUCAUCAAAGCAUUUGGCUGGAGGGAAGUUGUGCCCAUAUACGAAGAUACGGACUACGGUAGAGGCAUCGUACCGUACCUGGUGGAUGCACUCCAAGAGUUCGGAGCUUCUAUGCCGUAUCGGAGUGUGAUAGCUCAGUCAGCAAGCAGUGACCAAGUUGAGCAAGAACUAUACAAGCUAAUGACAAUGCAGACAAGGGUCUACAUUGUGCAUAUGUUACCAACCACUGGUUCCAUCCUCUUCAAAAGGGCCAAGGAGAUCGGAAUGAUGACCGAAGCCUAUGUGUGGAUUUUGACGGAUGGAAUCGCAAAUGUCGUCAACUCGCUGAGCCCUUCAGUUCUUGAUGCAAUGGAUGGUGCAUUGGGUGUGAGGUUCCAUGUACCUAGAUCAAAGGAACUUGAUGAUUUCACUGCAAGAUGGAAUAAGAGGUACAGACAAGACUACCCAGAUGACUCACUAUCGCAACUAAGCAUUUACAGCCUCUGGGGUUACGAUGCUGUUUGGGCCCUGGCACAAGCAGCAGCGAAAGUUAGAAUGACCAGUCCCACAUUUCAGAAGCAGAAAUACAGAAAGAACUCAACCUGUGUUGGAACUUUGGGUGUUUCUACAGUUGGUCCAAAACUCUUGGAUGCAAUCUUGCAAUGCAAGUUCAGAGGCUUGAGUGGUGAUUUUGACCUCAGAAACAGACAGCUCCAGUUUUCCACAUUCCAGAUAAUUAAUGUGGUUAGAAGAGAAUCAAAAGAAAUAGGUUACUGGACAGCAAAGCAAGGAAUAUUCAGGAACCUGAAUCAAGAUGUAUCAGCACACACAUACUUAAACCCUAUGCCUGAUCUCAACCCAGUGGUUUGGCCAGGACAAACACAUAUAGUGCCUAAAGGAUGGCAAAUUCCUACUAAUCGGAAGAAGCUCCGAGUAGGUGUACGGACAAGUGGAUAUCCUGAGUUUAUGAAGGUGCAGAGGGACCCUGUCACCAAUGCGAUAACGGCAACAGGAUAUGCGAUAGAUGUAUUUGAAGAGGCGAUAAAGAAACUCCCGUAUGCAGUACCUUAUGAAUAUGUAUCAUUUGAUGCACUCGGAGUAAAUUAUGGGAGCUAUAAUGAUUUUGUCUACCAAGUUCCUCUUGGGGUGUAUGACGCAGCAAUUGGGGAUAUAACCAUCAGGCACAACAGAACAUCUUAUGCUGACUUUACACUACCUUAUACUGAAUCUGGGGUAGCAAUGAUCGUGCCAGUCAAAGACGAUACGAAUAAGAACACAUGGAUUUUCUUGAAGCCAUUAACUGGUGACUUGUGGUUUGCAAGCAUCGCAUUUCUCAUCUACACAGGAAUUGUUAUCUGGCUAUUGGAGAGACGAAUAAGAAAUGCAGAAUUGACUGGUUCAUUCUUCCACCAGCUUGGGACAGCAAUAUAUUUCUCCUUCUUUGCAGACAGGGAAAGGGUAGAAAGUAUUUUGGCUAGAUUGGUUGUUGUUGUAUGGGUCUUUGUACUUCUCGUAAUUACAUCAAGUUAUACGGCCAAUUUGUCAUCGAUGCUGACAGUGCAGAAGCUUCAACCCACAGAAACAGAUGUUCAUGAACUCCUGAAAAGAGGAGAGUAUGUAGGGUACCGUACUAGUUCUUAUGUAAGGGAACUACUAGAACAACUUGGUUUUGAGAGAAGUAAGAUCAGGGCGUACACUAAUCCAGAUGAUUUUGCUGAUGCACUUGAUAAAGGGAGCAAAAAUGGUGGAAUCGCAGCCGCCAUACAUGAAGUACCAUACAUCAAAUUAUUCCUCGCUAAGCAUUGCAAAGGUUACACGAUGGUUGGACCAAUUUACAAGUCUGAAGGUUUUGGCUUUGCGUUCCCCAAGCGAUCCCCUGUGGUUGACGACUUCUCAAGGGCGAUCCUCAAGAUAACAGAGGGAGAUGCUAUCAUUCAGAUAGAAAAGAAAUGGAUUGGAGAUGAACAUGCCUGUAAGAACGACGAAACCAUCAUCAGCCCGAGCAGUCUAGACUUCAAAAGCUUUUUAGGGCUCUUUCUAGUCACAGGAGUUGCUUCAACUUCUGCCCUUCUGAUAACACUGGUGAUGUUUCUCUACAAGAACAAGCACAAGAUGGGGAUCAACAUAGGCCGUGAUCAGGUUCAGCGGGGACAUGGAACUGAGCUCGUAACCAAACGGAUUCAAGAACGCGCAGCAGAUUCCGACAUACUGCGCCGAAUGAUUCAGAUGACCACACCUGCCAGAAAGAGAUAG